rnacentral:rRNA from 1 species
AGCAGUCGCCACGGUAAAACGGAGGGUGCAAGCGUUAAUCGGAAUUACUGGGCGUAAAGCGCACGCAGGCGGUUUGUUAAGUCAGAUGUGAAAUCCCCGAGCUUAACUUGGGAACUGCAUUUGAAACUGGCAAGCUAGAGUCUUGUAGAGGGGGGUAGAAUUCCAGGUGUAGCGGUGAAAUGCGUAGAGAUCUGGAGGAAUACCGGUGGCGAAGGCGGCCCCCUGGACAAAGACUGACGCUCAGGUGCGAAAGCGUGGGGAGCAAACAGGAUUAGAUACCCCAGUAGUCCCUGUCUCUUAUAC